CUGAGUGCCCCUCAUUACAUCCAUUUCACCCCUUGUGCACAACCGCGUGGGUCCUUCUCUUUUUUUGGCUUGUUCCAGAAGGGGAGGGGGCUUGCGUUUUAACAUAAACACCCCUUUGAAUUCAGUGUAGAAUGUCUUUAACAAUGUGAUUAAUACAACUUUCAACAACGGAUCUCUUGGCUCUCGCAUCGAUGAAGAACGCAGCGAAAUGCGAUACGUAAUGUGAAUUGCAGAAUUCAGUGAAUCAUCGAAUCUUUGAACGCACCUUGCACCCCUUGGCAUUCCGAGGGGUACACCCGUUUGAGUGUCGUGAUAUCUUCAACCUUCUUGGUUUCUUGAUCAAGAAGGCUUGGAAUUUGGAGGCUUUUGCUGGCUUUCCUCUCAAAGCCAGCUCCUCUUAAAUGAAUUAGUAGGGUCUACUUUGCUGAUCCUUGACGUGAUAAGAUAACUUUCUACGUCUUGGGCUUUUGCAAACCUGCUUCUAACUGUCUCGUCAGAGACUGAACUAUCAUAUAUAUAAACCCUUGACCUCAAAUCGGGUGAGACUACCCGCUGAACUUAAGCAUAUCAAUAAGCGGAGGAAAAGAAACUAACAAGGAUUCCC
rnacentral:misc_RNA from 1 species